GCUCGCUUCGGCAGACAUAUAACUAAAAGUGGAACAUACAGAGAAGAUUAGCAUGGACCCUGCGCAAGAUGACACGCAAAUUCGUGAAGUGUCCAUAUUUAAA
ensembl:snRNA U6 U6 spliceosomal RNA